AAGUUUCGAAUUUGUGUCGCAUGGACUUACUAAGUUAGAAGCACGUAAAAGACACUUGACACCACCCGCAAAACUCUCAAAAUUAACUUAAUGCGACUCUGUGACUCCGCCCCUGCGUAGUCGCGUCCCCUUUUUGGGGAUUCAGACUAAGGUCACCCGAGAUAAUAGUUAAAUUUCCAAUGCUUUUCUCCCUCCUUCAGUCAUAAGCAUGCAUUCAAAGAAAACAGUCGUAUAUAUCACUGAGUAAAUAAGCUUCUGGAGAGCUGCUUUGAUUGGAAAGACCUCAGUUUAAGACAUCGAUUGGCUAGCGAAUGGGUGUGGCACAAGAUCCCUUUGUGGCCUUUUUCGUAGCUAUUCUGGAUGCAGUGGAAAUCGGGGUUAACAGAGAAGGUGCAAGGCUACUUGUUAGACGCACUAUAGCAUAUAUUUUUCUAUUGUUAUGAUAGCUGCUGUUAUGUUACUUAUAGCCUGUACUUAAAACCCUCAAAAGGGUUUUUAUAGAUGCAUUAAACUUUGCUGUGAUUUGGUAUAGACAUUAUUCUAUGUAUUUAUGUAUAUAAGAACAGAUCUGCACAAUAGGUCUUCUUUACACCAGCUGAACAAUGAGCUGUAGUGAUACUUCUACACUUAAACCUCAUAUAGAGGACAGUGAACAUAUUAGGCACUGAACAAGAUUGGUGGAGAGAAGGAAACAGCAGACAGGGAGGGAGGGGAGAGGAGACACAGAGCGCCCUGUAAAGAGGGACUGCCAACACCAGCGCUCUUGUUUUAUUGUAGUAUCUGAGCUUUUCUUCUUAGAUUUCCCUCCAGCUUGUAAAGAGGGAACAACUCUAAACUGUAUGUCUUGGAGGUACAUAAAAGUGGCUGAAGUUGUUGAGUUUUUGUGGCGCCUGCAAAGUUUCAGGCUAGAGGUUUUGGACAACCGUCUGAGUCUGUUUCAUGAAUCCAGAGAAAAGAGGAGUAAAUGAAAUCACUUGUUUCCUGGUUUGACCCGUUUCAGACACAGUGCUUACGUAGAGACAACUCUGUUACAUUGUCAUAUAUUAUAGAUUUGGAUACCGGGACAGUUUGGCAGCAUUCAAAAGUUAGCAUUUCACAUCUGAGAGACUUUGUUGCAUAAUUAAACUAGCAAUCUGUGCCAUUGCUGCGUAGACUUACUUUAUCCGCAAUAGGCAGCAUGGGUUCUCUCUCUGAUUCAGAGUCGGAGAUUGGCUCCUUUCCACGGCACAUAGAUUGAAUCUGCUGUGGCUCUCUGUUGGGCUGUGCAGCACUUCUGUACAUCUCCAUUUGUACGCUGCAGACGAACUCUGAAGACUGACUGUCUGGAAUACAAGAGCAGGAGGCCAGAGUACACAGUCAGGUGUUUUCUCAAGUGAUGCCUCGAAACCCUGUGCAACAUUUGGCAACCAAAAGAGUGUGUUAUUCGAAAAGCUCUCAUUAAGAUACAUAGAUCUUUUUGAGUAGAUGCUGCUGCUGUAAUGGUGGAUUAUUGACUUCUGUUGAGGUGUUGGACUGGUCUAUAUUGGAUUCAUUUGGGCCGAUGGCAUUGAGGCCCGGAGAUGUUGCUUUGACCCCAGGCUAAUUAAGUAGACCUGCUAUACAGUGUAGUACAUACUGAAUACUGAUGCUGUGUUCCAGUUACCUCAGAAGUCGGAUGAUGAAGCUGGGAUUGUCACACCUAAGUUGACGGAAUUCCAGUAAACAAGUCAUAAAACCAAGAUGGACGCCUACUGUUAGCCAUUAUUAGCUGUUGUUGACGAUUGUCCACUGUCGUUAGGCGUUGUCAGCUGUUGUUUGUUGUUGUUAGCGAUACCAGUUGUAAACAGUACAUAACCAUAGACUGUAUAUAGAAUGGAUGGCGUCUGUCUUCUUGCUGGGUGAAGCCACUGCGAGAACAGCACCCUCUGGUGACGGGCUGCAGUAGAGGUCAUAAAUCCCGCCUCCGCUAGCCAUCUUUAUGGAGCUGCUGACAAACAUUAGAAAUGUAUACAAAGAUUGCGUAGCUCACCCGGGGGAUAUGCUGUUUGAGCCGAGCAUCAUCACAGCGACUCUCCUGCUGAAUGCAUCCAAUGCUACUGUGCAAUGUUGGUUUCAAGAAAUGAAGAAAAAUCACGGAAAUACAGAACGCUUUUCGGCUUCAAAUCCUUGGAGUUGGAAAUCUGACUUCAGGGGGGCAUUUCAGAUGAAUUUCUGACUCAGAGCUUAAAAAUCCCGAUUUCUGAGUACAACAGUGCACCAUAAGCUAUUACCAAGCAUGUACAAUGACAUUUUAAGGCAAAGGCUACAGAAAUGGUUAUGCAAAACUCAAAGAGAUUUGUCAGAUUAAGUUUGGAUCAUGUUCCAGAUGGGGCUCAUUUGGGACUGGACCCAGACCACCUACUCUAAAGGGUCGUCAUAAGGUUGUUUUGGUCUGUAGGCCAACACCUUUACUUUUCAGCACAGAGAACAGGUGAGACAUCACUGCCUGGCUGUAAAAGUCAAAGAUAUCUUUCCAAGUGUGGGAUUGUGUUUCUCUUUUCACUCAUAGUGUAAUCAUCAGACCAGCGUCCUCUCGAUCAAGCGUAGACAGAAAACAUAAGAUCUAAACCGAACCAUUUUUCCUCCUCAGCCUCUUUCCUCCUACUUUCAUUUUCGCUUCUCUCUCCGACCAUUAAGCUCUUUCUCCUGUUGAUUACUAAAAGCCUGUGUAGGUGUGAUGACUUCAAACCCAACAGCGCCGUCCCUUCAUGUAAUUUCUCUCACUUCCCCUCCUUUUCUUUUCUCCUUCGCCGCUGCUGCUGCGUUAUGACUCUUUAACUCUGCCUUCCUCCUCCUCCUCCUCCUCCGGUCAGCUCUGACAGCUCAUGUAGGUGUUAUUGUUUCGAAUGUUUUCUACCUGUUUUCUUGAGUCUCUCUUUUACACCUUCCUCUCUCUUUUCCUCACAUUCUUCUCCUUCUUCUUCUCUACGGCUCCGCUGUGACCGCUCCUCCUCUUCCUCCUCCUGUUGAUAAGUGGCAGUUUGCAGAGGUGUGGGAUGUCUGCAGCUGCUACUUCGGCCCCCUCCAUCAGGUCCAGACAGCAGACUCCCGGGGUGGUAAUGACCGCCGAGCAGAUGAUGAUAAUAGCAGCCAGACAAAAAGCACAUCUCAUAGAUCAUCCUCUCCUCUUCAUCAUUUUCUUCCCUUUAUUUUUACUUCUAACUUGAGGAGCAAACACCACUUCUCUCGGCUGGAUUUCCUCCAGUAAAAUAAGAAGUAUUUUGGUUUCAUGAGACAGAACAGAGGAGUGAGGUUUGUUUUUUCAACAGCAGCUGAUAAAGCACCUGCGACUUUGUUCCUACUCUUUCAAACUUUCUUGCUUUUUCCUCCGCCUUACACCCGUGAUGCAUACAAACUGGAAAGAAGAAAAAGGCAGUAUAUCAUUAACAACACCCACCAAACUCCACUCUGCCGAGGAGAGAUUUAAUUGGAGGUCUCUCCACCUACAACCACAAGCGCCCCCGGGCCUCUCGUUGGCCCUGAUCCUGUUGCGUAAUGUUUUUUCUCCACGUCGUGCCUGGCUGAAAAUCAAUUAGCAAGUGCUGCAAUCGCGGAGUGCAGGAGGACUCCUGGAUGUCUUCCAAACCACUUAAUUUGUUCCUGAGCGGACAAGAAUUAUGCUCUGCUUGUAGUCCAGUGUGAUAGAUUUUUCUCUCUUUGUUUCAUGGUUUGAAUCGACACAAGUUUCAGGGAACGCCACAAAUGUUUUCCUGACCCACCCACUCCUGUUGAGCUGAUCGGUUUAGCCUUCGCACACGGCGGCCAUUUCUGGUCAGGAUGGGGAGUUCAAAUACUGUUACCAGAAAUUGAAGUUUUCUGACAGUCUGAACAGUUAACGUCGGGAAAUCUGGUCUACUGCAGAGCUACAGUAGAUCAUUAGCAAUUCACCUCUGAGUCGUGGGCGGAGACAGCGCUGCUCUGCACACUCCUCUUCACCUUAGCUUGUAGCCUAACAUAAGGUGACCAGAUUUCUAUAAUGAAAUCGGGGGACAUCCAGGAACAUUCAGUGGGUGGGGGCUGCUAAGCAAAAUGUGACUUGUGCUUCCUACCUACUCGGCUACCAUAAUAACUGUUGUUCUAAUCUACACGCAACUUUUUUGUUCUCGUUCAUGAAACACUUGUGUAGUGUAGUAGAAGCUAUUCAGCUCUCGGACACUAAUGUCUUUGGGGACAUGACGAAAGCUAAUAUCAUGAGUAGCUUUUUUAUGAGUUUUGCAAUCCACUAACUGCACUAAAUCCACUUAAAUGCAGAAAUACUCAGAAAUGCAAUUUUGCGCUUACUUGUGCUAGUGCUGGGCGAUAUGUCCUCAAAUCAAUAUCACGAUAUAUUGAGCAGUUCACCUCGAUAGCGAUAAAUGGACGAUAACCACUCCACAAGCUGCUCACCCCCUCACACGUAAACUUUGUCUACUCCAGCUGCCGCUCCAACCGCUCCAACUUUUGAACCGUCCUCCAUCUCCUCACCUGUCUUUCCCUCUUUGUUACGGACUGGAUGGGGUGGAGUCACGUCUCUGACGUAGGACAGCGUCUUAAAGGGACGUGUGACCAUAGCCUACCUACACACAGCCAAAACUAACUUUCAUUUAUUUAUUUUUUUGGCACCAAAUAUACCGAUAUUGGCAAAAUAAUGUCUGUUUUGUCGUAGAUUUCGGUAACGGCAAAUUUUAGGUUUAUCGCCCAGCCCUAAUAUGUCCUGUAGCAUCAGAAAAUUGCCAUAUGAACAUGUAGACAACAGGAAAAACAUGAUUUUCAUCGGAGUGGGUCUUUAAAUACAGACAGAAGCUCACACCAGUAUUCAGUCACUUGUUCGAUGCUACCUCUGGCUAGUCGAAGCUGGAAGCCUUAAUCACCAUUCAGUUGUUUCGUGCAAAUUCAUUCACUUAGAUUAUGUUUGCAUUGGACAAAUAACUAUUUAACACACUCAAGCCAACAGUAUGUUAACUUUAACCAAAUAAAUAUGCCGAAUUUGAGUCUGUUUGGUUGUUCGUAGUCAGAGAAGAAGAAGAAAUAAGUGAAAAUAACUCACUGGCGUGUGAAGUAUGAUGUUUUGAUCCUUUAUGGGGGAUUUCUCUCUCGGUUUUAUGAUCAUUUGUCUGUUUAAUCGUCUCGUUAAACUGGAACACAGUAGAAGGAAAUUUUCAGAGCGUUUCGGCUUCACGCCCUGACGUGACAUCCGAGAAAUGGCCCGUGUGCGGUUGCACUGAAUGGUUAUUUCCCCCAUCCUGCAGUUCUCACUCCACACUCCCUCUAAUGCCUCUCUUGUCUAUCAUCUCUCCUCUACAAUCUGCUCCUCCUUUUCUUGUUCCCUCCACCCCGGAGAACAGACGAGGGACUGUGAGGGAGAGGGCGUUUGAGGGAAGAGGCAGCUGAAUCUUCACUCGCUCCGAUGUCUCCUCAGUUACCGUGGAGUGAAGGACAGACAGGAGAUAAAUCAAAUCACCCGGAGGAUUAAUAUGGCGUCGUCUCGAUGAGAGCAACUGACAAGGACGUUUGUAUUUCUUCAAAUUUACACAAGACAAACUUCUACUGGGACAUGUUUCCCUUACUCUAAUGGGAAUAUGACAAAUGAGUGUGUGUUGUAUGCAAAUGAGGGAUAAAAUAAGCAAAGUGGAGCAGGGUGUAAUGCAGUGAGUAUGAUAACACUUAGCAGAACAGAAAGACAAACAGGCUCGCACACAGAGUGUCACUGAUGAGUUGAAUGACCUCCCUGCCAUCGGGGAUGCUUAUCCUGGAAGUGCCACUUUUAUGAGCGCGGGGAUGCUGCUGUUAAUAAAGGCGAGUGCCAGCAUCUCAUUAGAGUCUGAGUCAGUGUGCCAGCUCUGCAGAGCGAGGGCAGCCGUGCACAGAGCCAACAGGCUCAUCAAAACCGCAGGAGGACUCAGACCCGACACAGAGAGCUAACACGGCAAUAAUGUCCACGCCGAGGAUGGAGAGCAGCUGCUUAGCCUCAGCAGCUGUUCCUUGAUUCAAUCUCCUCUGCGACAACAUUUGUACCCGAUGACAGGUUUAGUGAUUUUCGCAUGCAAUUACAAAGUUUUGGUUUUGAAUAUUUUUUCCCCUGAAGACGUUUUGUUUCUAGUAAAAUUCCCAACUAAUCUUACAAAUGGGGGACCAGUGUGGACAGAUUUUAGGAGAUAAACUGGAUCUCUUUGGAGCUGAAUCAUCUCUCUAAGGUUUACUACAGCCAGCUCACUAGCAGUCGGCUACUUCUUCUUUGUUGUCCUUCAUUUGUCACUGAUGCUCAGUCUGUUUUCUUCAAUUUGGUAGAAGUCUCUUUGACUCAUCCCUUGCUGAUUUCUGUGUUGUGUUCCCUCCUCUUGUCCUCUUUUCUCUGCUGAUGACUUGUCAACAAUACACCAAUGAUUUAAAGUUUUGUGCUCUUCAAUAAUAUUAAAGGGAUAUUCCGGAGUAAAAUUAAGUUAGGGUCAAACACCAUAACACUGAGUUAGACACCCCGUCAAGAGAUGAAAGUUGCUGACCACUUGCUUCUAUAGUUAUACCAACUUCAGUAACGACCACAGAUAGCAAUACAGAGAGCCACACGCUCAACCAAAAAGCCACUCUCUCAACAUAUUGUUAAAGAGACAUGGCCUGACACCGAGACAUUACGUGAGGAAAGAGCUACCUUUGGGAAACACUGGACAUAAAAAUCAAAAAUGGAAAAAAGAAAGACUAAAAUCAAACAUAAAGAUGCAAGACGUCUGAACAAACUGGUGAAAAAGGCUGGCUCUGUGGUUGGACUCAAGUUGGACUCAGUGGAGGAUGUGGUGGAGAGAUCUACACUGAGGAAGGUGGAGACUAUUCUCAAGAACAUGGAUCACCCACUUCACAACACCUUGAUGGACCAACAGGCCAAUGGUGGUGGACGGCUCCUCUCUCUUCGCUGCAGGACAGAAAGAUUCAGAAGAUGUUUUGUACCAGCAACCAUCAGGCUUUAUAACUCUUGUGUAAACAGAAGUUAACUUUUUUGGAGACAUAUUAUGUGAGACGACAGACAAUCGAAUUUCCCUUCGGGGAUUAUGAAAGUUAUUCUUAUUCUAAUAAUAUUAAACAAACAGAUAAGUAAGAGCUCUUUACCAUAUAAAAAAAGUAAAAACCUCUAUGAUGGGAGUUAAGAAAAGGAGUAAAAAAAGAGAUAAUUAAUAAAAUGACAUAAAAUAAACAUUAAGAACUUUGAUUAAAAUGAACAUUUGCAAUAAGAGAAAUAUAAAAAGAAAAUUAGUGAAAAGCCUGGUUAAAAACUGUGAGUUUGAGCCUAUGUUCUAACAUACAGGCUCAUAAUUAUGGUAUAGCGGAUCUAAAAUUACAUAAACUGUCAAUUAGCCGAUCGAAAAUUUAAUCCAUCCGACAUAAACUUUCUCUACUCGGCUCCAUCAUCGUAUCAUAUCUGGACUGUGUUCCUGCUGUAGGUCUGUUCAGCCUGUGAGUGUGUUAUAAAGCUAUUCUGUGAGACAGUUAGAGGGAGUCUAACGAUGUGGAAAGCCCCCGCUUGCCUAAUGUUUGGAUUAAUUAGCGAGUCUCAUCCCUUGACGUCCUCUAGGAGGAGGACACACUUUAUCACUCCAGCCUGUGUCUGUUUACCAAAAGAGAUCUGAGCUGACAAAACGUCCUCUCCUUCACUCCUUCUUUACCUCUUUUUUUUUUUUUUUUUCCUCCACCAGAGUAAUUGAGCAAUUAGACGUGAUUGAUUGAUUUUGGGAAAGUGAGAUGAGGAAAAAUCGGCCCACGGACACAGAAGGGAUCCAUACAGUAGCUUUAAAUUAGCGAGAGGAACGGCGGCCAGGCAGCAGACUGGGGAGGCUUAGACGGCAGAUAAGGAAAAUAAGACACUGUAAGUAUGUGUGCGCGUGAACUCGCACAUAAAACUGCCAAUGAGAGGAGAUGGAUGUGCGGUUUGGAAAAGACAGAGCUGAGAGGAUGAGGAGGGGAAUCAGAAGUGUAAUUAGUCUCCGAAUGAUAGUAAAAUGUAGUCCAGCCCACGCCAUCGUCUUCCAAGAGUACUGCGAAUGCAUUUCAGCGAGAUACCGCAGUCACAUGCCGCUAAAUUCACAUGAUAUCAGAUGAAAAGACAACAUACAGGAGUUCAGCGGGCCUUUUGAGGUCAUAACUGAUGGAAAACGGCGAUAGGAUUACAUUUCUAUUACUGUAGUUUUCAUUUUUAUUUCCAUAUCCAAACUGAAUCACAUCCACACAUGUCAGAUAGUGUGACGUUUCAUUACCAUAAACAGAAGCGAUACGGAAAAAAGGAGCAUAUCCAUUAAAGGUAAUCUCCUCCUCCAUAUAAUCCCAUUAUUUUCACUCGCUGCUAUUUACAAGUGGGGUUAAAGGUCAAACGAUAAUAAGCGAUCUCACUCAUGACCUCAUGCGACGCAAAGAUAUGCUGUUUUCUAAAUGGUUGCCCUAAAAAAGAACAAAACAGCUAAUGCUAAAUGGGCUUUUAAAUGUACACAAGCUAAUCUUUAAGGAUCUGUCUGAGCCCGAUCCGCACAUAUGGCUCCUUCCCGGUCUUUCCCUUCCAAUUAUUGAUAUACGAGCGUAUUAAAAUAUGACACCUGUGUCACAGAUUAAUCCCCUCACGCUGCGGUUCAACCCGUCGUUUAACUGGCGCUGGUUUUAUCCGCCGCUGGUGGCAGCUGUGUGUCAGAGAUUACCCCAAAGUCCUCUGCCAACCCAGGCAGAGUUACAUCUUUACAUUAACGGUGUUUCCACGGCCUUAGCUUCACACAUGAAGACAACACUGACACUGUUAUUAAAUCUUUCCUAAUUCAUAAAGGCUUUGGUCUUUAAGAUUAUUUGUAUUUUUAUUACAUAGUUUGGGUUUUAGUGAUUAACAGGUUCAAAAGUUUUUUAAUUGCUUUGUCUGAUUGCUUUAGCAGCAGCUGUAAUGACUGUGACUCACUCCCAAAUGGUUCAUACUCCAAAGUCAAACCGUUUUUAAAGGAAACUUUCACUUUUUUAUCAAGUUUGGCGCCCCCUGUGGACAAAGCGGUGUUUGUUUAUCUCAUCCUCUACAUGUUAAAUAGCAUUUUUGACAUGAAAUAACCCAUCCUGUUGACUUUUAACAGUCUUAUGUAUCAUUUAAAGUUGGGUUAGGCAGGAUCUGAAGAAGUGCCAGUUUUUGGGAGAAGUCUUGAAUGUAAACACUACCCCUCCCAACCAGUACUUUCUGGUUGGUUUCUACUGUCCAAUAUUGUAGCACGCUAACUUUGUUUAAGCUCCUGAACGACACGAGGGAGCAGCAUCCACCUCACAACCAAUCAGGAUGGGGAGGUGGGGAAUGGCUUUGUUUACAGUCAGAAAGAGCGGGACGCUCAAAACAUUUAAAAUGUUGACUACACAGACAUAACAGAACACAGCAAUAUCGUUAUAUUUCCAAAUGUCAUCAAUAACUAAGAACUAUUGACUGAUAUUAAAUUCUUUUCUGUAUAUACACCAUAAAAAAUAUGCUUCUUUAACAGAGUCCUGCCUACCCCACCUUUAAGGCACUGAAAAUUACAAUUUACAAAUCACCAAUCUUAUUGCUAAUGGUGUUUUUCGCUUUUUUGUUUCACAAAUAAGCAUCAAUAUACAUUUAAGACCAUUUAAUUAAUGUCAAAAAACUCCCUACUGGAGCUUUAAGUUUAAGUCUGGGCCAUUUUUUGCCUCUGUCGGAUUGGACAGCCAAAGAGGGACAUGGAAUGUUUAUACUAUAGCAGUUUAAUGCAGUUAAACCAUUAAAAACUAGAAGCCUUCACCACAAAUCAAGUGUUAGUAAUCUACUUAUUAAAGCAUAAAUGUAGAAAUUCCCAAACCUUGUGGAUAUUUCUCCUUAAUUUAGUCAUUAAGACCCUCAAAUGUGGGGGAAAAAAAUCGGGUAAAAACUUCUGGAAUUUUCCCCCAACAUCAGACAGGACCACAAGUGGAAUUGCAGUUUUAUAAUAACAUGCACUUAUACUCAUGGAAACACACAAGCCCUUUUACAGCAACCAAUUAGAUGUAAUAUAGCGUGAUUCCUCCCAGCCAGCAGAAAGAGCAGGUUGGAAUUCCCACUGCUGACGAAGAUGUUUUGUAACGAUCAGACUUUGAACAUGCAGCAACACUUCAUCUGCUCUCAGAGCGGUGAUAAAAGUGUAAUAAAAAGCAAUGGGCAGUUGGCUUAAAGCAUGUGUCAACAGCUUUGCUACGCUUGAAUUAAACAUGAGAAAAGUGGCUGACUUAUUCAUGAGCUGGAUGAAAUCAGCGAGCGUUCGAGGCUCAGCGGCAUGAGGAUGGGCCGAGUGUUUAGCAUGCAUGCUAAGUCUUUGGAGCGUUAUCGAUAUCGGACGUGGUCAGCUUAAACACAGAUGCACGAAUACCAGGUUAAAGGAGGAAAAGCAGGUCUGAAUAGCUCAGUGCUCCCAAGGCAACCGCUGUAGAGCAUAGCUUCCUUUUAUAAGUUAUGUUCGACGAAUCAGACACAUGGCUGACCUGAUCUUUAAAGGCACGGUUGACGAUCUGAACAGCAGUUGAAAAAAACUGAGCCAUUGAAGCACACCCUUGUUUUUUUUUGCGUCCUUCUCCAUCACAGCUCCUGUCGCUAACAUAGUAAGCUAAAAGUAGCGUAGUAGCUGCUACACUACUUUUAAAAGUAUUUUAUUCCUUUUGGCUGCGAAACAUCAUCGUCUGUUUGGUUGGGGUUAGGGUUAGGAGAUUCAGAAGUGUGAUAAUGUUCUGUUCGAUGUACAGAGCCGACAGCCCGCGUUUGGCUUGAGCAUAAGACGAUGUUUCACAGCCAAUGAAAGGAGAGGAGGCAGGAUCUUUCUCUACCAUCCUAGGAAAAAAAAUACCGCAUCCAGGAUGGAUGGCUCCCAUUGGUCAAUGUUUUUGCAGCCCUGCACCUGCUAGGGUGAACAGAUUCUUUUUUUUCUUCACUUUGCGGAGAUCGCACUAUAGGACCAUGAUCACCAUAUAAAUGAGGUUUAUAAUAAUUACCAAUCUCUCCAAUCAACGACGCCUUUAAGUUAAGCCAUGGCCAAAACAACACUGACCAUAUUGUAGAUUUCCCUUCCAGAGUAACAACACCUGUUGCAAAUGCUGCAAAUGUCAAUAAUCGGCUUUUUCACACUCUCAUUUAGUCGUAACUGUUUCCUAAAUUCUUGUUUCUUCCAUUUAAAUGUGAUCCAAACAUUUGGCGAAGAAUCCCCCGACACCUAAUGAUGGGAUUGUGUCCGGGACUUUCUGCAAAUCCAGCUGCAAUCGGAGAGCGCACAUCCUAAUUAAAAGAGAGUGAACGGCUCUAGCGAUGCCCAUUCAUGAAGAAAUUUGCCCUCACUUGAACCUUCACUUUUUCCGCUCUUGAACAUCCAGAUAUGGUCUUUAAUGCAGUCAUGGUGCCAUCAUGUUUACUUACAUCCUGAGAUUUUACACGUAACCUUUUUUCUGACCUCUUUCGGUUUUCCUCUCGAGCCUAAAAAAGCUGCCAGCAGACACUUUGUUUAUGGAAAAGCUCUUCCAGCGGUGGGAACCACUUCAGGUCAGGAAAUGUUGCAAAGCCGAACAGCUGGUGAGAGAGAAAAAAAAAAUCAGUUUAUGCACCGGGAAAAAAAAGCAAUCUAAUAAGUAGACAAAUGUUGUCAUGAUAGCACAAGUUAAUAAAAGCAACACCUUCUGUUUCCACUCCCGAGGAAAACACAGCCCAUGGGGGAAACAAAUCACCGCGUUCUCAUCACAUCUGCAGCCGGAGAGUAGAAACCGAUGCUCCGGCUGUAAUUAGAAACACUCGACAUGAGGGAAUAAAAACUCAAAGUGUCUGACUGGCAUAACUCACACUUAGCAGCAGAGGUCAAAAAACAUCCUGACGAAAUAUGAACGACUGUCUGAGUUUUUCCCCGUCGUUCCCAGAGGGGCUGUUUACAGGCCGGGGAAAGGUCAAAGGGCAUCAUUUCCCACACAGCAUGCUGGUGGUGUGUUACAGGAAGGAGAACAUAUACUGAGUGCAUUUAUGAUCUGGAUUUGGGAAAUCCAACAAUUUAAAGUAAGAUUAGGACAAAAAUGUGGAGUCAUCUUUGAUCAGGACUUGUGUUUUCAGCCCAAAGUGAGAAGUUUUUAUUCAAUUCAAUGUUUUUAUUUCCUCCUGUGUCAGAUGCUGGUGGUGCUACGAAAGAGGAUUAGAGCCACAAGAAGAGAAAAAAUUAAUCACAGGAGGGAGAGAUUUUUCAUUUCCAUUUUGAGAUUAAAGUCCAAAUUUAAAAAGUUGUAAUUUCAACUUUAAUGAGCUUUUUAAAUAAGUCAAAAUUUAAAAAGCUGAAAUUUUGACAUUAAUCAUGUCGACUUUAAUCCCGAAAUAAUUUUUUUUUAUCUCAAAAUUUUGACAACAUUCACAACAUUUUAACAUUUUGUGAUCUCAAAAUUUAUACUUCUAUUUUGAGAUCAAUUUUUAAUCUCAGCAUUUUGACUUGAUUGACAUAAUUUCGAUUUUUUUUAUUUCGAAAGUUCGACUUUAAAAUCUCAAAAUUGCAACUAUAAUCUCAUAAUUUAAAUUUUUAUCAAUCUCGAAAUUUCAGCAUUAUUCACAACAUUUCAACAUUUGGUAAUCUCAAAAUUUAGACAUUAAUCUCGAGAUUUCAAUUUUUUUAUUUAAAAAUUUUAACAUUAUUCACAACAUUCUGUAAUCUUAAAAUUUUGAUUUUAAUCUCGAAAUUUCAAAUUUUAAUCUUGACAUUUCAACUUUAUUGACAUAAUUUCGAUUUUUUAAAUCUUGAAAAUUCAAUUAUUUAUCGCAAUUUUUCCAUUUUAUUGACAUAAUUUCAAUGUAUUAAUUUUGAAAUUUUGACUUUAAUCUGGAAAUUCCGACUUUAAUCUACUUCCUGUAAUUAUUUUUUUUCUCUUCAUGCUGCCCUAAUCCUCUUUCGUAUCCUGCACACUUUACACCUGUCACAAACAAAAGUCAAUCCAAGAAAUCCCAAAGUGCUGCAGUUCAGUUUUUUAAGGUACAGUGUGAAGAAAUGGUCACAUCUAUAGAUGUAUAGUAGAUAGAUUCAAAACUGAAAUGGUUACCAUACUCAACUCUCCCUCGAAUAAAGUGACAGUAGUUUUAAUAUUCAUUAACUUGCUAUCGUUUGCCGCCAGUCUGAGAUCCUCUCGUAGAGUUUUAUGUUAAUUUAUUAAUGCAAGAGUUUCCAGAAGACGCACAGGUGUUAUAACAUCAGCAACAAGAGUAUCUGACAAUCAAAAGUGUCUGUACUCUGUUAAAAGUUAUCCAGCUGCAGACAAUGUGCCAGGAGAGAAAUAAAACACACACUAACACACACACUGAAAGGAUAACUUCUCAACCUGGCUAUCACAUCUAACACACAGCUGUUUUUCAUUCGAGGGUCACAACAUGUUUUUCAUUUCAGCUCAAAUCAAAUUAGUCCUACAGUAUUUAGAAGCUCUGCAAAGUGUGUGCACACCUGAAUCUGGAAAACGGACAGCAUCCCUUUUGAACACAUACAUUUGCUCUUCUCAGGACUUAAUUCUAUUUGCAUAUGCACCUGAAUGUUAAUGCAUUUGCAAUAGAUGAUAAAGCAAAUCUGUGCACGCUGUGUUGUGUUUUUCCUGUGACAAUAAAUUUGGGGAAAAGCAGAGAAAAAGUACCCUCUACCCAUCUGGAAUUGUGCACAUCCUUUCCCCCGUCCUUACUUAAUUCACAGCUUCCAGGCAGACACUAUUUCUUCGCCUUGUUUUUUGCAGGAAUGCUGGCGGUAAAACUCGUAUUCGCAGCACUGGAGACCGUCACAACAGCUCUGAAGUCCUAUAAAGCAUCCUGAGAUUCCAGAGUACAGAAUGUCCCUCUAUUCCUGUUGUUCUCCUCCUCCUGCACGAGCAACAAUAAUGACAAUCCCACCUGGCAACAAACGUCCUAAAGGAAACAGAAUGAAGUCAGAAAGAACAGAAUAAAUCAGUUUGAUUCCUCGUGCCAAGACUAAUACUGCAUGCAUAUAAACAUAUGACACAGAUUCAUAUGGAUUUCUCCUGACUUUGGGAUAAAUGUCUCGGACCAGCCAUGUGUGGGAGAUUUGAGAAAAACAAGCUGACAGAGUGUCUGUUUUCUCUCAAAAUCUGCAGGCAUUUGACUGACAACCCGACACAUGUAGGUGCUACAAACCGUCAGUGUUUUCACUCCUUCACAGAAAAAAAAAACUGUUUAAUAUUCUUAAGUAGACGGGUAAAUAUUUGGCAUAAGGAAGCACUUGAUUCAGGCUGGACGAUUCAAGUCAGACACCGGAUGGGAAGGGGACAUGAAAGAGGCCCUUCAUGGAUCCAACCAGCCCCCC